rnacentral:rRNA from 1 species
UACGUAGGGGGCAAGCGUUGUCCGGAAUUACUGGGCGUAAAGGGCGCGUAGGCGGGAUGGCAAGUCGGUCGUGAAAGCCUUCGGCUCAACCGAAGAACGUCGGCCGAUACUGCCGUUCUUGAGGGAUGCAGAGGAGACUGGAAUUCCCGGUGUAGCGGUGAAAUGUGUAGAGAUCGGGAGGAACACCGGUGGCGAAGGCGGCAUCCUGGACCAAUAUUGACGCUGAGGAGCGAAAGCCAGGGGAGCAAACGGG